GUAACGGUGUCUUUAGACACCACCCUUUGUCUUUGAAUUUGUUUUU
rfam:Picea glauca, whole genome shotgun sequence.